UAUCCUCCAUUCUGGAACUAGUCAGUGUUCUAGAACUAGAAAGUUCUAGAUUUCAAACACGGGUUGGUACUUAGAAAAUUACUGUGCUUUGAGCCUUAGUGAUGCACGUAGAUCAAGAUCAUUACAGGAUAAUUAAUCAGAAGAACAACUCUUAGAAAACCAAAGUAUUAGAUACUCCAAGCGCAACCCUACGCAGCAAGGCGCCAGCUGCACAGUGUCACUGCGUACAUUCUUCUGCUGUUGUUUUGAUGUUCCCGAUCCAGGGCUUCUGCUUCUUAACAACUACAGAUUCGGGCUAUCCUCCAAGCUUAACUAAAUACUGUCAGAAAAAUUAUAAAGAAUGCCUGGAAGACAGAGACAACUGUUAUUCCUAGAAACCUGGGAGAUCAAGCUACACCGUCAGGACACCCAUCUUCACCCCAACCUGGUGUUGCUGAAUGGAGGCCCAGAGAGGUCCCUGAGUGAAGCUGUGAAGGUGAAGCUUGGAUUUCACUGGAGGCACUAAGAUGUUGCAGAUGCUAGAGUCACGGGAUACCUGCCAAGAGCAGCUGCAGACCAAGAGUGGAGCCAGCCAAACACAGAAAAGUGUGACGAAGUCAACAAAGCUGAACGGAAUGGGAGAGCUGAGGAGUCCAUUGACAUCAGACAUGGUAAUAAAGAGUUUGGAGUUUGCCCCAA